rnacentral:rRNA from 1 species
UACGGAGGGAGCUAGCGUUGUUCGGAAUUACUGGGCGUAAAGCGCACGUAGGCGGCUUUAUAAGUCAGGGGUGAAAUCCCGGGGCUCAACCUCGGAAUUGCCUUUGAUACUGUCUAUCUUGAGUCCGGGAGAGGUGAGUGGAAUUCCUAGUGUAGAGGUGAAAUUCGUAGAUAUUAGGAAGAACACCAGUGGCGAAGGCGGCUCACUGGUCCGGUACUGACGCUGAGGUGCGAAAGCGUGGGGAGCACACAGG